AUUCAGAAGAGUUUGUUCAAACGCGUUUCUAGAGUUACCGAAAAGUUGAAAGUUUAUUUUAAAUUGUGUGCAUUGAAUUGUAGAUUUUCUGCAAUUUUAAGUAUACUACGAUAAAUACAUGUAAAACAAAUUUAUUUAAAACCGUCUAUUGUUGAAAGUAAUUCUGAUAUAGCUAUUUCGUAGCAAAUCUUCGGUAUCAAUUUGCUGUUGAAAAUUGAGGUUAUACGUCCGUACCCAUUGGAGUGUAGCGGCGAUUGAAUAUUUCUUCAGUGACUAAUAAGCAAAAUUACUGAUGAAAAAUUUGUUAAUUAAACAGCAGUGUUUUCAUUUAAACUCUUGAUAAAAAGAGUAAGGUAUCAACCAUUUAUUGCCAAUGCAUUUUGCUAAUUAGAAGUAUUGACAAGUGUUUGUGUAUUAACAAGUGUCUAGUGUACGUUUGUAUUAAAGCAUAAUUGCAUUGACUUAAAUCGAAAACAUUUCUGGUGCGCCUUCAAUACAAAAAUUUCUGUAAAUUAAACGUCCAUUCUGUUUAGGCGGACGCAAAUGUGUAUGGCUAUUGUGCUGGUUAGACCUGUUCCUACAUCUAUGGAGUUUCAUCUAGACAGUGCAGAAUACUGCCAAGCACAGCACAAAUAAAAAGGAAAAGAGUUUGCAAAACAGCGAAAGAAACGUAAAAAGGACGAGAGUUGGAACUUGUUGGAAGCGCGUCCAGUUGGGAGACAGUUAGACAGGAGAUAGCAGUGAUAGCGCGCGGUACGAGAAAGCAAGCGAGAUUUAGCGUAGAAACAAUUUUCGAAUUUUCUUUAAAACAACAAACUAAUUGGAUUUUCAAACAAGUGUUUACUGAGGCAGUAAGAAAGAGAGAAAGCUACUACAAAAAGCGCGCAUAUCAGAAGAAUUGGUAUAUACAAUUUCGGUUUUAGCUAAAACAAACAAACAAAACAAGCAAAAGAAAGCAAAAAGCAACGAAAAGAGCAGAUUAAUUGACAGAAUUAUCGCGAAAUUAAAUUGUAUAAUUUAAGAGUAAUUGUUGUACAAUUAAAGAGUAAUUGCUAUACAAUUGAAGAGUAAUUAAACUACAACUACUAAAAAGUCAACAGGGAUUUCGUAACGGCUGAAAAUCAGGCAGGUUUUGUGCAAACAAACAACAACAAAAAAGCAAG